UACAGAGGGUGCAAGCGUUAAUCGGAAUUACUGGGCGUAAAGCGUGCGUAGACGGUUACGUAAGUCGGAUGUGAAAGCCCCGGGCUCAACCUGGGAAUGGCAUUCGAGACUGUGUAGCUAGGAUGCGGAAGAGGGAAGCGGAAUUUCCGGUGUAGCGGUGAAAUGCGUAGAUAUCGUCAAGAACACCGAUAGUGAAGACAGCUUACUAGACUUCAACUGACGCUGAGGCACGAAAGUGUGGGGAUCAAACAGG
rnacentral:rRNA from 1 species